AUGCAAGUCGAACGGACUGAUUAGACUGCUUGCAGUCUUUGAAAGUUAGUGGCGGACGGGUGAGUAACGCGUGGGUAACCUGCCUCACACAGGGGGAUAACAGUUGGAAACGACUGUUAAUACCGCAUAAGCGCACAGUACCGCAUGGUACAGUGUGAAAAACUCCGGUGGUGUGAGAUGGACCCGCGUCUGAUUAGCUAGUUGGUGAGGUAACGGCCCACCAAGGCGACGAUCAGUAGCCGGCCUGAGAGGGUGUACGGCCACAUUGGGACUGAGACACGGCCCAAACUCCUACGGGAGGCAGCAGUAGGGAAUAUUGGACAAUGGGGGAAACCCUGAUCCAGCGACGCCGCGUGAGUGAUGAAGUAUCUCGGUAUGUAAAGCUCUAUCAGCAGGGAAGAAAAUUGACGGUACCUGACUAAGAAGCACCGGCUAAAUACGUGCCAGCAGCCGCGGUAAUACGUAUGGUGCAAGCGUUAUCCGGAUUUACUGGGUGUAAAGGGAGCGCAGACGGAAUGGCAAGUCAGAUGUGAAAGGCAUGGGCUUAACUCGUGGACUGCAUUUGAAACUGUCAAUCUUGAGUAUCGGAGGGGCAAGCGGAAUUCCUGGUGUAGCGGUGAAAUGCGUAGAUAUCAGGAGGAACACCGGUGGCGAAGGCGGCUUGCUGGACGAUAACUGACGUUGAGGCUCGAAAGCGUGGGGAGCAAACAGGAUUAGAUACCCUGGUAGUCCACGCAGUAAACGAUGAAUACUAGGUGCUGGGGUCCACAGGGCUUCGGUGCCGGCGCUAACGCAUUAAGUAUUCCACCUGGGGAGUACGUUCGCAAGAAUGAAACUCAAAGGAAUUGACGGGGACCCGCACAAGCGGUGGAGCAUGUGGUUUAAUUCGAAGCAACGCGAAGAACCUUACCAAGUCUUGACAUCUCUCUGAAAGCUUGUGGAAACAUGAGCCCUCUCAUUCGGAGCAGGGAAGACAGGUGGUGCAUGGUUGUCGUCAGCUCGUGUCGUGAGAUGUUGGGUUAAGUCCCGCAACGAGCGCAACCCUUAUGCUUAGUAGCCAGCGGUCCGGCCGGGCACUCUAAGCAGACUGCCAGGAAUAACCUGGAGGAAGGUGGGGAUGACGUCAAAUCAUCAUGCCCCUUAUGAUUUGGGCUACACACGUGCUACAAUGGCGUUCAACAAAGGGAAGCGAGCCCGCGAGGGGGAGCAAAUCCCAAAAACAACGUCCCAGUUCGGACUGUAGUCUGCAACCCGACUACACGAAGCUGGAAUCGCUAGUAAUCGCGAAUCAGAAUGUCGCGGUGAAUACGUUCCCGGGUCUUGUACACACCGCCCGUCACACCAUGGGAGUCGAUAACGCCCGAAG
rnacentral:rRNA from 1 species